GGGGCCGAACCCACGCCUGUUGAAAAAGUCGGGGAUGAGCUGUGGCUAGGGGGUGAAAAGGCCCAAAUCAAACUCGGAAAUGCUGGUUCUCCGCGAAAUCUAUUGAGGUAGAUCGUCAGGUAUUACCCUCGGGGGUAGAGCACUGGAUGGGCUAGGGGGACCCAAAGUCUUACCAAACCUAACCAAACUCCGAAUACCGAGGAGUAGAGCCUGGCAGACAGUCCCCGGGUGCUAAGGUCCGGGGUCGAGAGGGAAACAACCCAGACCACCAGCUAAGGUCCCCAAAUCGUGGCUAAGUGGGAAAGGAUGUGGGAAGGCCAAAACAACCAGGAGGUUGGCUUAGAAGCAGCCAUCCUUUAAGAAAGCGUAAUAGCUCACUGGUCUAGACAAGCCGUCCUGCGCCGAAAAUGUACCGGGGC
rnacentral:rRNA from 1 species